GGAAGAGUGGCCACACUCUUGCAAUCCUGAGUCUAAGGUCCUCUCCGUAGUACUGGUUGCCUGGGAGAAAAUGGAAGAACAAGGCAGAGAUCCUUCCCCAGAAGCACAAGCAUUUGAAAGAAUGCCUGCAUUUGGGUUGCAAGAAUGAAGUCUGGAAGGUGUUAAAAAACAUGAAGUUAUUAGAGGCCCAUGUUGCUGCCCAUCACCACAGAAGGUCAACAUAUUCCAUGUAAAAUAGCAUGAUCCUUGUGGAGCAGCUGUGAUCUUCAGGGUGUGUUCUGCCUUGCCCUUUCAUAUAGUUGCAAAUGGGAAAUAAAUUAAUGUAAUAAAUUGGUAGCUUAUGCAGUCGGAGAAUUAUUGUAUUGGACUCGUGCCUUUUAAAUGAUCAGUAUUGCAUCUACUGGCAUUCUGUAGUCCAAGAA